rnacentral:rRNA from 1 species
AUUGAACGCUGGCGGCAGGCCUAACACAUGCAAGUCGAACGAGCGGCGGACGGGUGAGAAAUGUGUGGGGAUCUGCCCGAUAGAGGGGGAUAACUACUGGAAACGGUGGAUAAUACCGCAUACUAUAGGAUGAGCCCAUGUGGGAUUAGCUAGUAGGUGGGGUAAAGGCUCACCUAGGCGACGAUACCUAGCUGGUCUGAGAGGAUGAUCAGCCACACUGGGACUGAGACACGGCCCAGACUCCUACGGGAGGCAGCAGUGGGGAAUAUUGCACAAUGGGCGCAAGCCUGAUGCAGCCAUGCCGCGUGUAUGAAGAAGGCCUUCGGGUUGUAAAGUACUUUCAGCGGGGAGGCGUUACCCGCAGAAGAAGCACCGGCUAACUCCGUGCCAGCAGCCGCGGUAAUUC